rnacentral:tRNA from 1 species
UCCCAGGUGGCUCAGUGGGUAAAGAAUCUGCCUGCAAUGCAGGAGACACAGGUUCAAUCCCUGGAUUGGGAA